UACGGAGGGUGCAAGCGUUAUCCGGAAUCAUUGGGUCUAAAGGGUUCGCAGGCGGCCUAUUAAGUCAGUGGUGAAAUCCUACAGCUCAACUGUAGAACUGCCAUUGAUACUGUUAGGCUUGAAUGUAGUUGGAGUAGGCGGAAUGUGUAGUGUAGCGGUGAAAUGCUUAGAUAUUACACAGAACACCGAUAGCGAAGGCAGCUUACUAAACUAUAAUUGACGCUCAUGAACGAAAGCGUGGGGAGCGAACAGG
rnacentral:rRNA from 1 species